UACGUAGGGCGCGAGCGUUGUCCGGAAUUAUUGGGCGUAAAGGGUGCGUAGGCGGUUUGGUAAGUCUGAUGUGAAAUCUAUGGGCUCAACUCAUAGUCUGCAUCGGAAACUGCCGGGCUUGAGUGUGGGAGAGGUGAGUGGAAUUCCCGGUGUAGAGGUGAAAUUCGUAGAUAUCGGGAGGAACACCAGUGGCGAAGGCGGCGAUCUGGGAAGAUACUGACGCUGAGGUGCG
rnacentral:rRNA from 1 species